AUAAAGCAAUAGUAGCUUGUGAUAUGUAGGCUCUAUUUGAUAGCAUUUCUAUUGCGGUGAAUUCAGCCCCCUAGCGAUUUAGUCUGACAGUCAGAAUGACAGUGCACCGUUUAGGCAUGUUUGUCAUUUUUAAGGAGGCAUGGCAGAAUACCCAAGUGACCAUUUCCAAUUCACAGAUCUCGGCCUCGGGAGUCAAAUGAAUCAACAGCGACGUCGGGCCAGAGAUACCAGGCUGCCAAUUCUGUUGAAGGUUAAAUUGGAAAUUAUAUCGAGCAGCCCCCUGAAGAACCCUGAAGAACCCUGAAGCCCCUGAAGAACCCUGAAGCCCCCUGAAGCACCCUGAAGAACCCUGAAGCACCCUGAAGAACCCUGAAGCCCCUAGCUCUAUUCAGCGGACAGAGAAAGAAAGAUGAAACAGAUGCCAGUGACUGGUUUGAAUUCCAUUAGUGUGGAAAGGAAAAUGAUUUUUGAUGACUCACUGUGAUCUGUUUACCUAAUUAAUGGCUGUUGAGACGAAUGUGGAAGCUGUUACCUCCAGAAUAAGCUGCUGCCUGCUUGUCAAUCUUGCCCCAUUCAAUAAAUCAGCUACAGUUACAGUAGUUACUGUGGCUGGCUGCAUUGAAUGCAGAUGAUGAUGGCAGCCUGCAAGUCUUCAAUCACACAUGAGCUUAAAGAGGCGUUCACUCUCUUUGAAUCCUCUUCUUUAAAUCACAUCCGUUAAGUAAUGAAGACCGUGGCGAGGUGAAGACCAAAGGAAUCUGCAGACUAUCUUGAGUUUUUGCCCCAUUUUGAGGAGGAACCCGAAGCAGCAUCUCUCUGUUCUGUUCGGGUGAUUGUAGGCAGUACUGUAUGUGUCAGGCUGCUGGCUGUGCAGAGACUAAUCUUUUCAUGUCGCAUUUAAAGCUGUCAGUCUUUCCGGGGGGAAUCCUUUGAGACAAAUGCACACAUUUUUCAGCUCCCUGCUGAAUAUAUUGUCUUUGGUAGAAUGUCACUUUGUUUUGCAUAGCUCUUUUUCAUUGAUAUGCCUGUGAGAAUGUUUGUGUAUAUAUUUCCACUAAUUGGUAUGUGUUGACUGGGAGCUGGCAGACUGGGUUCUGAGAUUGAGUCCCAAAUGGCACCUUAUUCCCCACAUAGUGCACAACUUUAAAUCAGUAGAGAAUAGGGUGCCGUUCGGGACGCACCCUGAGAUUUCCAUCCGUCUGUCUGUCUGGUGUAGUGAUUGCCGUUGGUCAGAGACAAUGACUGGAGGCGAGAGUUUAAAUAGAUGUGAGGGCUGUGGUGUUUCCUCAGCAGCUUGACAUCUUCCUGCCUGCCUCCCUGCAUGGCACAGCAAUGGCCAGGGAUGAAAUAUUUAAAGGAACAACAUCCCAUGGGUCUCUACUGGGUGGCUGUGUGUGAGUUAUUGCCACAUUUCUCAAUUGCUGCUCCAUUUACACUCUUUGAAAGAAAGAUGCUAUCUAUAGGACCUAAAAAGAACCCUUUUUGGUUCCAGGUAGAACCCUUUUGGUUCUAGGUAUAACUCUUUUGGGUUUCGUGUAGAACCUUUCCACAGGGUUCUACAUGGAACCCAAAAGGGUUUGUCUACCUGGAACCCAAAAGGGUUCUUUUACCUGGACCCAAAAAUAGUUAUCUUAUAGGGACAGCCGAAGAACCCUUUUGGAACACAAAAAAGAGGAUGUGAACCAGUUGAUUUAUUUUCCUGCGACCAGACGCAUUUCCUCUGUGACAGUUGAAGAUAUACAAAACAUUGUCUACAGCUAAACUAAUAAACAACUCAAUCUCA